rnacentral:rRNA from 1 species
AUUGAACGCUGGCGGCAUGCCUUACACAUGCAAGUCGAACGGCAGCAUGAUCUCGCUUGCUAGAUUGAUGGCGAGUGGCGAACGGGUGAGUAAUACAUCGGAACGUGCCCUGUAGUGGGGGAUAACUAGUCGAAAGAUUAGCUAAUACCGCAUACGACCUGAGGGUGAAAGUGGGGGACCGCAAGGCCUCAUGCUAUAGGAGCGGCCGAUGUCUGAUUAGCUAGUUGGUGAGGUAAAGGCUCACCAAGGCGACGAUCAGUAGCUGGUCUGAGAGGACGAUCAGCCACACUGGGACUGAGACACGGCCCAGACUCCUACGGGAGGCAGCAGUGGGGAAUUUUGGACAAUGGGCGAAAGCCUGAUCCAGCAAUGCCGCGUGUGUGAAGAAGGCCUUCGGGUUGUAAAGCACUUUUGCCCGGAAAGAAAUGGCUCUGGUUAAUACCUGGGGUCGAUGACGGUACCGGAAGAAUAAGGACCGGCUAACUACGUG